rnacentral:rRNA from 1 species
UACGGUGACUAUGGCGGUGGGGAUCACCUCUUCCCAUUCCGAACAGAGUAGUUAAGCCCACCAGCGCAGAUGGUACUAGAGUUAAUCUGGGAGAGUAUGUCGUUGCCGAUU